rnacentral:rRNA from 1 species
CCUACGGGCGGCAGCAGUGAGGAAUAUUGGUCAAUGGGCGGGAGCCUGAACCAGCCAAGUCGCGUGAAGGAAGAAGGUACUUAGUAUUGUAAACUUCUUUUGUCGGGGAACAAAGGCGGAGACGCGUCUCCGGAUGAGUGUACCCGAAGAAAAAGCAUCGGCUAACUCCGUGCCAGGAGCCGCGGUAAUACGGAGGAAGCGAGCGUUAUCCGUAUUUAUUGGGUUGAAAGGGUGCGCAGGGGGGAGAUCAAGGCAGCGGUAAAAUUUCGGGGCGCAACCCCGUCGUGCCGUUGAAACUGGCGUUCUUGAGUGAGCGAGAAGUAUGCGGAAUGCGUGGUGUAGCGGUGAAAUGCAUAGAUAUCACGCAGAACUCCGAUUGCGAAGGCAGCAUACCGGCGCUCAACUGACGCUCAUGCACGAAAGCGUGGGUAUCGAACAGGAUUAGAUACCCGGGUAGUC